UUUUAUUUGAGAGUUUGAUCCUGGCUCAGGAUGAACGCUGGCGGCGUGCCUAACACAUGCAAGUUGAGCGAUUUACUUCGGUAAAGAGCGGCGGACGGGGGAGUAACGCGUGGGUAACCUACCCUGUACACACGGAUAACAUACCGAAAGGUAUGCUAAUACGGGAUAAUAUAUUUGAGAGGCAUCUCUUAAAUAUCAAAGGUGAGCCAGUACAGGAUGGACCCGCGUCUGAUUAGUUAGUUGGUAAGGUAACGGCUUACCAAGGCGACGAUCAGUAGCCGACCUGAGAGGGUGAUCGGCCACAUUGGAACUGAGACACGGUCCAAACUCCUACGGGAGGCAGCAGUGGGGAAUAUUGCACAAUGGGCGAAAGCCUGAUGCAGCAACGCCGCGUGAGUGAUGAAGGCCUUCGGGUCGUAAAACUCUGUCCUCAAGGAAGAUAAUGACGGUACUUGAGGAGGAAGCCCCGGCUAACUACGUGCCAGCAGCCGCGGUAAUACGUAGGGGGCUAGCGUUAUCCG
rnacentral:rRNA from 1 species